rnacentral:tRNA from 1 species
GCAUCGGUGGUUCAGUGGUAGAAUGCUCGCCUGCCACGCGAUUCCCGGCCGAUGCA